GUUGUUUUCAAUAAUAGAGCUUCUGAAUCGACGAUCCAUACUAGUAAACAUUAUCUAGAGCAUUUGAAACUUCUAAAAUCAAAUUUCAUAAUUUUUAAUAUUUUACCUUAUGAUCAAAAGAUAUCAAAAUUGAUAAUUUUUAACGGCCGAUAUGGAAUACUUGCUAGUUUAAUGAUGUAAAAGAAUCGAAAUCAGUUGAAUUUGGGUAGAAAAUUCUAUUGACUAUAAAGAGAAAAAUCAAUAACUCCGAUCUUAAAUUGAAGUAUCUGAUCAUCCAUUUUUAGGACGUCAUUUGAUUUUGACCGUUCAUUUUAUGUCCCUUUGAUGGACUUUAUUAUAACUUUGAAAAAUUACGAAAUUCAUUUUUUGGAACUUUCAAAUAAUUAGGAUCAAAUUUAACAGUGUGGAUUUUCAAUUCGAAAGCUCCAUCAUUGAAAACAAUAUAUGAGUACGAAAGACUCUAUAGUCAAAAGAGUAUAGUAGCCCACUCUUUCUCUAUCUCUCUCUAUAGAGAGAUAGAGAGUCUGGCUACGAUACUAUCGAUAGUAUGAAGCUCUUGGUAUUAUCGAGUUUUCUGCCGUUAGAAGUUCUCUUUGAUCAUUUUCACCCAUUUGAACAUACUAUUCAAACCAAGCACUCCCUCAACCCUAAAGAACCACUAUUAAUCAGAGACUACUAUCAUUCUAAUCGCACAUCUUUUAUAAUGACCAAAAAUUCGAUAGCAUAAAAUGUUUGAUAAUAUCGAUAGCAUA
rnacentral:lncRNA from 1 species